rnacentral:rRNA from 1 species
AUACGGAGGGUGCAAGCGUUACUCGGAAUCACCGGGCGUAAAGCGCGCGCAGGCGGCUAUUUAAGUUGGAUGUGAAAGCCUACGGCUCAACCGUAGAACUGCAUCCAAAACUAUUUAGCUAGAGUGUGGGAGAGGAAGAUGGAAUUAGUUGUGUAGGGGUAAAAUCCGUAGAGAUAACUAGGAAUACCAAAAGCGAAGGCAAUCUUCUGGAACACUACUGACGCUGAGGCGCGAAAGCGUGGGGAGCAAACGGGAUUAGAUACCCGAGUAGUCC